GUCUUUUUGAUUAUAAUUUAAAGUCUAGCCUGCCCAAUGAGGAGUUGAAUGGCCGCGGUAUUUUGACCGUGCAAAGGUAGCAUAAUCAUUAGUUUUUUAAUUGAAAGCUGGAAUGAAUGGUUGGACGAGAAAGUUACUGUCUCAAUUUAAUUUAAUUAGAAUUUUAUUUAUAAGUAAAAAAGCUUAUAUAAUUUUAAAAGACGAGAAGACCCUAUAGAGUUUUAUAAUUAUUUAUUUAUAGUAUUUUUAGUAUGUUUUAAUAUUAUAUAUAAAUACCUAUUUUAUUGGGGCGAUAGAAAAAUUUAAUAAACUUUUUUUAUAUUAUUACAUUAAUGUAUGAAUAAAUGAUCCAAUAUUUUUGAUUAUAAGAUUAAAUUACCUUAGGGAUAACAGCGUAAUUUUUUUUUAGAGUUCUUAUCGAAAAAAGAGUUUGCGACCUCGAUGUUGGAUUUAAAA
rnacentral:rRNA from 1 species